CACGUAGGCGGUUUGGUCAGUCUGCUGUGAAAUCCCUGGGCUUAACCUAGGAAUUGCAGUGGAUACUGCCUGACUAGAGUGUGAGAGAGGGGGGUGGAAUUCCAGGUGUAGCGGUGAAAUGCGUAGAGAUCUGGAGGAACACCAGUGGCGAAGGCGGCCCCCUGGUUCAACACUGACGCUGAGGUGCGAAAGCGUGGGGAGCAAACA
rnacentral:rRNA from 1 species